UCUCUAGUAGUAGACCGGUUAACACAUUUGCCUGAAAUGUCGAGGGUAUCCAUUGUCGGCCGAAAGCUGGGUUCGAACCCCAUCUAGAGAU
rnacentral:tRNA from 1 species